CCUACGGGAGGCAGCAGUGGGGAAUAUUGCACAAUGGGAGAAAGCCUGAUGCAGCGACGCCGCGUGAGGGAUGAAGGCCUUCGGGUUGUAAACCUCUUUUGCCAGGGAAGAAGCGAGAGGACGGUACCUGCAGAAGAAGCACCGGCUAACUACGUGCCAGCCAGCAGCCGCGGUAAU
rnacentral:rRNA from 1 species